rnacentral:rRNA from 1 species
GGAAACGACUGCUAAUACCGGAUGUGCCUUCGGGUGAAAGAUUUAUUGCCAGAAGAUGAGCUCGCGUCUGAUUAGCUAGUUGGUAGGGUAAAAGCCUACCAAGGCGACGAUCAGUAGCUGGUCUGAGAGGAUGAGCAGCCACACUGGGACUGAGACACGGCCCAGACUCCUACGGGAGGCAGCAGUGGGGAAUUUUCCGCAAUGGGCGAAAGCCUGACGGAGCAAGACCGCGUGAGGGAGGAAGGCCUUUGGGUUGUAAACCUCUUUUGUCAGGGAAGAACAAAAUGACGGUACCUGACGAAUCAGCCUCGGCUAACUCCGUGCCAGCAGCCGCGGUAAUACGGAGGAGGCAAGCGUUAUCCGGAAUCAUUGGGCGUAAAGCGUCCGUAGGUGGCGAAGUAAGUCUGCUGUCAAAGACCACAGCUUAACUGUGGAAAGGCAGUGGAAACUGCAGCGCUAGAGUACGGUAGGGGUAGAGGGAAUUCCAGGCGUAGCGGUGAAAUGCGUAGAUAUCUGGAAGAACACCGGUGGCGAAAGCGCUCUACUGGGCCGUAACUGACACUGAGGGACGAAAGCUAGGGGAGCGAAAGGGAUUAGAUACCC